CCUACGGGUGGCAGCAGUGGGGAAUAUUGCACAAUGGGGGAAACCCUGAUGCAGCGACGCCGCGUGAGCGAUGAAGUAUUUCGGUAUGUAAAGCUCUAUCAGCAGGGAAGAAAAUGACGGUACCUGACUAAGAAGCCCCGGCUAACUACGUGCCAGCAGCCGCGGUAAUACGUAGGGGGCAAGCGUUCUCCGGAUUUACGGGGUGUAAAGGGAGCGUAGACGGCGAUGCAAGCCAGAUGUGAAAGCCCGGGGCUCAACCCCGGGACUGCAUUUGGAACUGUAUAGCUGGAGUGUCGGAGAGGCAGGCGGAAUUCCUAGUGUAGAGGUGAAAGGCGUAGAUAGUAGGAGGAACACCAGUGGCGAAGGCGGCCUGCUGGACGAUGACUGACGUUGAGGCUCGAAAGCGUGGGGAGCAAACAGGAAUAGAGACCCCUGUAGUC
rnacentral:rRNA from 1 species